GAGGAGGAAGGUGCAAAGUGGUGGGAGGCUGCGGGUCUCCCGGAGGGUGAGGCGUUGGGGACCAGGCGGGAGCACAGCCGAACCCCUACCUUUCGGGCGGGGCGGACACCAGCCGCGCGCCCUCGCCGGGCGCCGGGACCGGAAAAUCACCGCGAAGGGAGGGACGAGGAAAGGCGGCGGGUGGCUUCAGGACAAGGACUUUGUGAUUACAUUGGGCCCAUCCAGAUCAUCCAGGAUCAUCUUCCCAUCUCAAGAUUCUUCACUUAAUCACAUCUGCAAAAUUCCUUUUGCUGUGUAAGCUGUGAGAUAUCGGUGGGCGAGGAUGUGAUGCCUGAAGAUGUGGCAUCUACCUUGAAACAGUCAAGGACCUGAGGAUGAAGCCAGCAUCUGAGGAAGACAGACAGAAAGGAUCUGGAUACAUCAUGAGCCUGAAAAGUAUCUUGCAUACACAACUGGCAGCACAGAAUCCUGACAAACCUCUCAUCAGAAAUCAACCACAGACUCUUUAUGCUCUUACCAAAAUGCUGGCUUUGAGAACUAAUUAUGAAUGAAAAUUACUGAUGUGAUUUUCAGUCCACAGGGCCUGAAAAUUGCUUCCAGCAACUGACAAGUUCAUCCCCUUCCAACUGGUCUGACAAGCCCUGAGGAAGGAGGAAGACAGUGAUAUCCACCCCCCGCUGCCC
rnacentral:lncRNA from 1 species